UUAUGUUUGUUUUGGUUGUUGGGGUUAUUAGAUAGGUUUGGACCCCUGUGAACAUAUACUUGAGUAUAUGUGUGUGGAAUAGUUGAAGUAUGCAUGUUUGGAGAAGUUGAAGGGAAGGAGGAGCUUGUUUUGCCGUCGAGCUGAGUUCUAGAUGAACUCAGGUUCGGCAGCCGAGGGUUCAUUCGGCCGCCGAACCUCUUGCAUGGUGGCUUGGUUGCCACAGCUUGCCCCCGAGUGUUUUUGCAUGUUCGGCUCUGUUUGGGGGAUUCGGCCGCCGAAGGUGCUUGAGUUUCGUCUCUGGAGAGGACAUUCGGCCGCCGAACCUGCCGCCGA
rnacentral:lncRNA from 1 species